AUUGGGCGUAAGCGCGCGCAGGUGGUUUCUUAAGUCUGAUGUGAAAGCCCCCGCCUCUACCGGGGAGGGUCAUUGGAAACUGGGAAACUUGAGUGCCGUAGAAGAAAGUGGAAUUCCAUGUGUAGCGGUGAAAUGCGUAGAGAUGUGGAGGAACACCAGUGGCGAAGGCGACUCUCUGGUCUGUAACUGACACUGAGGCGCGAAAGCGUGGGGAGCAAACAGGAUUAGAUACCCUGGUAGUCCACGCCGUAAACGAUGAGUGCUAAGUGUUAGAGGGUUUCCGCCCUUUAGUGCUGAAGUUAACGCAUUAAGCACUCCGCCUGGGGAGUACGGCCGCAAGGCUGAAACUCAAAGGAAUUGACGGGGGCCCGCACAAGCGGUGGAGCAUGUGGUUUAAUUCGAAGCUUUUCGAAGAACCUUACCAGGUCUUGACAUCCUCUGACGACCCUAGAGAUAGGGCUUCUCCUUCGGGAGCACAGUGACAGGU
rnacentral:rRNA from 1 species